AUAAGGGCUUAUUGAAUAUCGCCUGGCGAUACCCAAAGAUGGGACGGCAGCAGCGGAGCUAAUUUAUUUGUUGGCUAAAUUGUAACUGUGGUUAUUGAAUUAUACAUUGAUUUGCAUUUUCGUCCAUAAAUUUUAAUGAUAGUUAAUGUCGUUCUCAAAUUAGGUUUUGCGUACUUUUCUAUUUUUUUUAUUUUUAUAGUUAAUGUCGUUCUCAAAUUGGAUUUCUUAAAAAAUUAAUAACUUCAAAGAAAUCCAAAAAAAUCAAAGCUUUGGAAUUUGGAUGAAAAAAUUGUCCGUUUGUCGUGCCAAACUCACCCAGUAGCAGUCCUGGUUUCUGUUUAACUCCAAUCUGUAUUUCUCCAAGGUAAACUCUCAACCGCCCAG
rnacentral:lncRNA from 1 species